GUGGGGAAUAUUGGACAAUGGGCGCAAGCCUGAUCCAGCCAUGCCGUGUGAGUGAUGAAGGCCUUCGGGUUGUAAAGCUCUUUCACCGAUGAAGAUAAUGACGGUAGUCGGAGAAGAAGCCCCGGCUAACUUCGUGCCAGAUGCCGCGGUUAUACGAGGGGUGCAAGCGUUAUACGGAGUCAUUGGGUUUAAAGGGUGCGUAGGCGGAGCGUUAAGUCAGUGGUGAAAUCCUGCAGCUUAACUGUAGACUUGCCAUUUAUACUGGCGCUCUUGAGUGCGCUUGAAGUGGGCGGAAUGUGCCGUGUAGCGGUGAAAUGCUUAGAUAUGGCACAGAACACCAAUUGCGAAGGCAGCUCACUAAGGCGAUACUGACGCUGAGGCACGAAAGCGUGGGGAUCGAACAGGAUUAGAUACCCCAGUAGUCC
rnacentral:rRNA from 1 species